GAUGAACGCUGGCGGCGUGCCUAAUACAUGCAAGUCGAGCGAACAGACGAGAGUGCUUGCACUCUCUGACGUUAGCGGCGGACGGGUGAGUAACACGUGGGUAACCUACCUAUAAGACUGGGAUAACUUCGGGAAACCGGAGCUAAUACCGGAUAAUAUUUAGCUUCGCAUGAAGCAAUAGUGAAAGACGGUUCUGCUGUCACUUAUAGAUGGACCCGCGGUGUAUUAGCUAGUUGGUGAGGUAACGGCUCACCAAGGCAACGAUACAUAGCCGACCUGAGAGGGUGAUCGGCCACACUGCGACUGAGACACGGCCCAGACUCCUACGGGAGGCAGCAGUAGGGAAUCUUCCGCAAUGGACGAAAGUCUGACGGAGCAAUGCCGCGUGAGUGAAGAAGGUUUUCGGAUCGUAAAACUCUGUUGUAAGGGAAGAACAAGUACGUUAGUAACUGAACGUACCUUGACGGUACCUUACCAGAAAGCCACGGCUAACUACGUG
rnacentral:rRNA from 1 species